AGAGUUUGAUCCUGGCUCAGGAUGAACGCUGGCGGCGUGCUUAACACAUGCAAGUCGAACGAUGAAAGCGGGAGCUUGCUCCUGCUGGAUUAGUGGCGAACGGGUGAGUAACACGUGAGUAACCUGCCCUUGACUCUGGGAUAAGCGUUGGAAACGACGUCUAAUACCGGAUACGACCUUCGGAGGCAUCUCCUGGGGUGGAAAGAAUUUCGGUCAAGGAUGGACUCGCGGCCUAUCAGCUAGUUGGUGAGGUAAUGGCUCACCAAGGCGACGACGGGUAGCCGGCCUGAGAGGGUGACCGGCCACACUGGGACUGAGACACGGCCCAGACUCCUACGGGAGGCAGCAGUGGGGAAUAUUGCACAAUGGGCGCAAGCCUGAUGCAGCAACGCCGCGUGAGGGACGACGGCCUUCGGGUUGUAAACCUCUUUUAGUAGGGAAGAAGCGAAAGUGACGGUACCUGCAGAAAAAGCACCGGCUAACUACGUG
rnacentral:rRNA from 1 species